CAGCCGCCGCGGUAAAACGAAGGGUGCAAGCGUUACUCGGAAUUACUGGGCGUAAAGCGUGCGUAGGUGGUGGUUUAAGUCCGUUGUGAAAGCCCUGGGCUCAACCUGGGAAUUGCAGUGGAUACUGGGUCACUAGAGUGUGGUAGAGGAUAGUGGAAUUUCCGGUGUAGCAGUGAAAUGCGUAGAGAUCGGAAGGAACAUCUGUGGCGAAGGCGACUAUCUGGGCCAACACUGACACUGAGGCACGAAAGCGUGGGGAGCAAACAGGAUUAGAUACCCGCGUAGUCCCUGUCUCUUAUAA
rnacentral:rRNA from 1 species